CCUACGGGGUGCUGCAGUGGGGAAUAUUGCACAAUGGGGGAAACCCUGAUGCAGCAACGCCGCGUGAGUGAAGAAGUAUUUCGGUAUGUAAAGCUCUAUCAGCAGGGAAGAAAAUGACGGUACCUGAGUAAGAAGCCCCGGCUAACUACGUGCCAGCAGCCGCGGUAAUACGUAGGGGGCAAGCGUUAUCCGGAUUUACUGGGUGUAAAGGGAGCGUAGACGGCAGUGCAAGUCUGGAGUGAAAGGCGGGGGCUCAACCCCCGGACUGCUCUGGAAACUGUACGGCUGGAGUGCAGGAGAGGUAAGUGGAAUUCCUAGUGUAGCGGUGAAAUGCGUAGAUAUUAGGAGGAACACCAGUGGCGAAGGCGGCUUACUGGACUGUAACUGACGUUGAGGCUCGAAAGCGUGGGGAGCAAACAGGAUUAGAUACCCUGGUAGUC
rnacentral:rRNA from 1 species